rnacentral:rRNA from 1 species
GAUCCUGGCUCAGAUUGAACGCUGGCGGCAUGCCUUACACAUGCAAGUCGAACGGCAGCGGGCCUUCGGGUGCCGGCGAGUGGCGAACGGGUGAGUCAUGCAUCGGAACGUGCCAUUGAGUGGGGGAUAACGUAGCGAAAGUUGCGCUAAUACCGCAUAUUCUGUGAGCAGGAAAGCAGGGGACCGCAAGGCCUUGCGCUCUUUGAGCGGCCGAUGUCAGAUUAGCUAGUUGGUGAGGUAAAGGCUUACCAAGGCGACGAUCUGUAGCGGGUCUGAGAGGAUGAUCCGCCACACUGGAACUGAGACACGGUCCAGACUCCUACGGGAGGCAGCAGUGGGGAAUUUUGGACAAUGGGGGCAACCCUGAUCCAGCCAUGCCGCGUGAGUGAAGAAGGCCUUCGGGUUGUAAAGCUCUUUCGGCCGGGAAGAAAUCGCAUGGGUGAAUACCCUGUGUGGAUGACGGUACCGGAACAAGAAGCACCGGCUAACUACGUG